GAUUGAACCCAGGUCUUCCACAUUGCAGGCAGAUUCUUUACCAGCUGGGCUACAAGGGAAGCUGCAAGGGAAAGCAGUCUAAAUAUCCACAAUUGGAUGGUAGUUAAUUAAAUCAAGUGAACAAAUUCACUUGAUGAGAUAGUAUAACUUUUGCAAUAGCAAUAUAGUGGAAAUCUUUGAUAGAGUGCUAAAUUAAAAAAAAAAAACUCUGGAUAUAAAAUGAUAUAUUCUAGAAUUAAAACAAUGGAAAACAGAUUCACAUAUCAAACCAGUGAGCAAGAAUACCUCAGUUUGCAAAGCCCAUUGUUUCAGUAUAAGAAGAAAGUGUCAUCAUUUUGUGGGGGAGCAGGAAGGAGGGAUUUCCAUACUUUUAGGUAAAGCUCAUUACUUCUACAUUUAAAAAUAUUUUUUACUACAAAGGUAAAAUACACGAUAAAAAUGUUCAAAUAUAUACAUGUUUAGAUAUUAGAUGUAUAUAUUGUUCUGAACUGUGCUAUGAUCAACAUCCACUCAACUUUUCUUCUUAAGAAAAUGUCACUUGCUCACCUUUAACUGUCUGAUACCCGAUCCCUGGAGACUCAUGCCAGAACUCUUUCUCAGAGGCUUAGGACUUUAACCUAUAUGAUCUGCUUAAUUUCCUUCAAAUUGCUUUCUUGAAUUACACAUUUACAUUUUAACAGAAAGGUGUUAAUUUACUUCCAGCUGCUAAAAUUAAUUGCCAGUUUACUUUCAAUCUUUGUGUUUUAAUUUACAAGUUAUCAUACACUGCCUCAUGUUUCAUAUGCCGAAUUUUACUGAGUAUCAUAUGAUGGUGAUUCCCAGUAUCAACACUGAUCCUGUCCCUGGGUCCUCGAGACAGCAAAUGCCAGGAGUAGGAUAAGCAAGCAGGAAAUGUGUGAUAGCACUCUGUGCGAGAGAGGAAGGAGCCUGGGAAGGGGAGGAGGAUUGGAUAGGAGCCCUCAGACUGCCCUGCAGCUCUGAGGAGAGCAGGGCAAGGUGGUCAGCAGUCCUUGAGCCGCAAUCACCUCGUCGUGGGCCCUGCAGCUCAGGAAUGGACCCACCUGGUGUCUCUGCCUCCGGAAGGAUCGUCGGCAGGAAGCAGCCUGCGGGCAGCUUGUUCUCUACUGGAAUGCAAGGUUACGUUGCAGAGUACAUCAGCUUGGUCCAGUGAUCAGCCCCAUUCCCUCCUAACCGACAUCUGAGGCACAUUCUCAUGCCCUCAACAUUUUGCAAAAUUAACUGUUCAUGCUGCGUCAUGUUCCAUCUUACUAAAUGUACUCCUUUUGAGUAAGUCAGAAAU
rnacentral:lncRNA from 1 species